rnacentral:misc_RNA from 1 species
GCCGCCGCCAACCCCACCAACUGUGCCGAAGCCGGAUCCCACGAAGCCUAUGACCGUCGCCAGGACGCUCCUCCAGCUAAAUUCCAGCUCCGGCCAGACACGGAUGCUGCGGGAGAGCAGCAUAUGAUCGCUUACAUCAUUACCGAAACUUUGUUUGAAGUGGUAGAUCGAAAGCAUGCAGAGGGCAGCUGCUAAAACAGCCGCGGACAGCAGAUAUGCCAGAAACUUUUUCAUGGCGCCGCCGCCAUAGGAGAUUGCGCAGAGAUCCAUGAGAGGAGAUGGGAGUUGGGGUGUAACCG